ensembl:misc_RNA 7SK 7SK RNA
AGAUAUGAGGGAGAUCUCGCUGCGGUAUCUGUCACCCCAUUGAUCACCGGGGUUGAUUCAGCUGAUCUGGCUGGCUAGGCGGGUGUCCCUUCUCAUCACUGCUCCCUCAGCAUCCCUCCUGACACGUGCUCUAUAGAAGAGAGGGACCUUUCCCAAUAGGGAAGGACUUUUCUUCAGUCAAGAGUACAGGAGUAGCUGCAUUCCCCUGCUAAAACCUCCAAAUGAGCUGUCCAGGUCCAUUUGUAGAAAGUAAUGUAGUCAAGCUCCAGAUAUCCAAAUGAGGCACUACAUGUGGCAGUUUGCCCUUCUUA